AAAUAUACGCGAUAUGGAGAAACCCAUUGAAUUAAUCUGCCGUAAACACCGCAAUUAACCACCAGGGGGAGAUGUUUGGAAACUGCAUGCAAUCUUGUAUUUGACCAAAUGUAAACAAUUAUCAUUUUGUCUACGAACAUCCGAUCCAGACGCAUGAUACGUCUUUGGAAAGCCACAAAACGGCUUUUUUUAUAUAAAAAUAAAUAACCCCUGGAUAUUGAGCUACAGGGCACAGCACGAGCAGUGAAACCGGGGUCCCCACAGACUUCUAUCAGGCGCGUUCACGGUCAUAACAAAGCCUACGUCAGGAGGAAAUUUAACACACGAACAGUACAGCAAACUGAGUCUGGAUUCUCCUCGGCUAAAACAAAACCGUAUCGUUAUUUAUACCUGUUUAAGGGGCUUGUGUUUUGGCUGUACGGCUUCAUCUCAUCCUUUUUGUUUGUCAUAAUCGAAAGCGCGCCAGCCUCCGUAUUUGUUUUUAUGUUGCUGUGUUGUUUUUUGCUAUGGAUGAUUUAUCUGAUUGUCCCCGCUAAUGCUUUAUUGUGCACACACGAGGUUGUUGCCUCUUCAUGGUUUUAAUAUCACCGGGUGUGUGUUAAUUUAUUUUUAUUGUUGUGUAUUCGAGUUGUGAAGGAGUGGCGUCGCUGUUUAUUAUAUUGUUGUUCUUGUUCCCUGCAGCAUUGAAAUGUUAGCCAGUCUGUAUCUAUCAUUUUGGGAUCCAUGGUGGUUGAUUACAUUAGUCACUUAAACUGUAAUUUCUGAUUAGAAUUCACUGUGUUGUUUAUGUAUUUGUGUGGAGUUUAUUGUUUUAAUUAACAUAGUUUUCUGUUUUAACAAGAUAUAAACUGAAAAAACACAAUGUGUGGGGUUUGUCAGUGUGUGCCUCGUAAUCACGUCACCCACGAUUUAAGACUACAGGGGGUGCGUUCACGAGAGGCAGACUUUGCUAAGUCUGCGCAGAUUCUGCAAAGAUUCUGAAAAUUCAUUGGCUACUUGCUCCGAUUCUGUGCGGAUUCUGCGCAGAAUGACACAAGUCUGCGUGUCGUGAACGCAGCCGAACUCUCUCCACACGCAACACACAGCGUUCCAGCGCCUGCCGUCACUCCUGCACACGUGAGGGGAAUACAUGCGGGCUAGAGUGUCUCACGCGUGUAGGGCUGUGUGUUGAAAUGAACCUGGAAACAAAUCCAAAUCCAUGCGUUUCCAGCAGAUGUGUCCGUCCUCGCCUCUUGCUUUGCUCGACUACCUCUAAGAGAAAUGUGUUGGGCUUGUAUCUUCACCUCAGUGUUGCUAUUGUGUUUAAAUUGACAUAUUUUUUUCGGCCCUUGCAUUAAAUGUCGGUUCAUCUAUGAGACUGAGAAAUAAUUCUCAGACAAUAUUAUGGCUGUAGACCAAGAGCAAGUUCAUAAUACUGGUCUGUGACAAUGUGAAGCACUUCCAGUGUAUUUAUUUAUUUAUUUAUUUAUUGCAUUUAUAUAGCGCUUUUUCACAAAGCACUGUACACUACAGAGCACAAAAAAGAACAAACCACAAUACAUUUCUAUAGCAUGCCACACAUACAGACCAUAAUAAUACAAAAGCAGCAGUUUUUAUAAAAGUAUUUUUCCUCUUGACAAUACUCGACCGUCCCCUCGCUAGAUUGCUCUGAUACUGUGUGUGUGUGUGUGUGUGUGUGUGUGUGUGUGUGUGUGUGUGUGUUCUUCUCUCGCCUGUCCUGUGAGGAUGAAGAUGUAGUUUCAGUGUUUAAUGCUCAUCCCCUCACUGUGUGUCUGUGUGUUCUUGUCUCUUGACAGGUCUGUGAGGACGAGAAGGUCUCCACAGUCUGGAGUCUGGUCUCUGACAAGCUCAACAUACCUGUCAAUCAACAGGGACUCCUCUACAAAGGCAAGGCGCUGUCAGGUAGGCUGAACAGCACAGCACAGCACAGCACAGUUCACCCCUCCUCUCACCCCUCGCUUCACCCCGGGUCAGUGUGGCACAGCCUGCCUGCUCUUCUAAACAAACACUUCAGCCCUGCCGACGCAGUGAGAGUCUGGAGCAGCAACACAAGGUGAUGAAGUGACACUUUGAAUAUGGGGCCUGAUGAGAGAAGUAUCCUUUUCAUGUGGUUUUGGUUUUGCCGUUGUGAGCAGGAGUGGGAAACAGCACCGUGUCUGCAUGUGAAAUAACAAAGUCAUCGCAGUGGAGGGACUCUCUGAAGGCUGCUGUUUGUGGAUUUGUCUUGUAAUGUGAUGAAGUGACACUUUGAAUGUGGGGCCUGAUGAGAGAAGUUUCCUUUUCAUGUGGUUUUGGUUUUGCCCUUGUGAGCAGGUGUGGGAGACAGCACCGUGUCUGCAUGUGAAAUAACAAAGUCAUUGCAGUGGAGGGACUCUCUGAAGGCUGCUGUUUGUGGAUUUGUCUUGUAAUGUGAGUGAUCUACUGUACUGUGAUGCCAUUGUCUGUACGCACGCUGCACUGUAGGGGAGACACCGCUGGCAUUCACAGGGCAUGCUUGUUAAUUUAAAGCACGCUGCACUGCAUGGGAGACACCGCUGGCAUUCACAGGGCAUGCUUGUUCAUUUAAAGCAUGCUGCACUGCAGGGGAGACACUGCUGGCAUUCACAGGGCAUGCUUGUUCAUUUAAAGCACGCUGCACUGCAGGAGAGACACCGCUGGCAUUCACAGGGCAUGCUUGUUCAUUUAAAGCACGCUGCACUGCAGGGGAGACACCGCUGGCAUUCACAGGGCAUGCUUGUUCAUUUAAAGCACGCUGCACUGCAUGGGAGACACCGCUGGCAUUCACAGGGCAUGCUUGUUCAUUUAAAGCAUGCUGCACUGCAGGGGAGACACUGCUGGCAUUCACAGGGCAUGCUUGUUCAUUUAAAGCACGCUGCACUGCAGGAGAGACACCGCUGGCAUUCACAGGGCAUGCUUGUUCAUUUAAAGCACGCUGCACUGCAGGGGAGACACCGCUGGCAUUCACAGGGCAUGCUUGUUUAUUUAAAGCACGCUGCACUGCAGGAGAGACACCGCUGGCAUUCACAGGGCAUGCUUGUUCAUUUAAAGCACGCUGCACUGCAUGGGAGACACCGCUGGCAUUCACAGGGCAUGCUUAUUCAUUUAAAGCACGCUGCACUGCAGGGGAGACACUGCUGGCAUUCACAGGGCAUGCUUGUUCAUUUAAAGCACGCUGCUGUGGGAUUUUGCACAGUGAUUUUGUAUCUUAUUUUCAGGUGAAGUUUUGAAUGCAUCAAGUUGGAAGACUUGGCUUAAGAUAAUGAACUCCACUUUUCAUAAUGUAAAUUGUUUAGUUUGCAUGAUUUGACAAUACAGGUGGAUUUAAUUAGACAACAAAACCACCCAUUACUCCAUAAACAAUGACUUGAACAUUCAUUAUCCUGUCUGACCAUGUUUCAGGAGACCUCUAGUGGUCAAGAUGCGCCAUGUGAGGGAAUAAUGCUAUUUUUAUUCUCAAACUUAUAUACCUCCCUUGAAUUACUUUACCACAACAUCUGCGGACACACACACACACACAGUGAGGGUCUGGAGCAGCUACACAAGGCAACCUGAACACAAUAAACACAGACAUAUAUAUAUAUAUAUAUAUAUAUAUAUAUAUAUAUAUACACACAUGUAUAUAUGUAUUCUUAUCUAGUGUCGUGGUUGAACAGUUUUGGCCUCAGCAAUAGUCAAUGCUAGUAAUUGGAAAUUCUGAGUAAUUUAAAGUAUUGUAUGUGUUUCACUGAUCUGUCAUGUUGGGUGUUUGUGCCUCACUGUGGGUCACUGAUCUGUCAUGAGGGGUGUUUGUGCUGCACUGUGGGUCACUGAUCUGUCAUGUGGGGUGUUUGUGCCUCACUGUGGGUCACUGAUCUGUCAUGAGGGGUGUUUGUGCUGCACUGUGGGUCACUGAUCUGUCAUGUUGGGUGUUUGUGCCUCACUGUGGGUCACUGAUCUGUCAUGAGGGGUGGUUGUGCUGCACUGUGGGUCACUGAUCUGUCAUGAGGGGUGUUUGUGCUGCACUGUGGGUCACUGAUCUGUCAUGAGGGGUGUUUGUGCUGCACUGUGGGUCACUGAUCUGUCAUGUGGGGUGUUUGUGUUUCACUGAUCUGUCAUGUGGGGUGUUUGUGUUUCACUGAUCUGUCAUGUGGGGUGUUUGUGCUGCACUGUGGGUCACUGAUCUGUCCUGUGGGGUGUUUGUGCGCACUGUGGGUCACUGCCACAAGGGGUCACUGUAUUUUGGAUAAUUUUUUUUUGUUUUUUUUAAAACCUUAAUUUAACCAGGAAGUCACGUUAAGAUUCAAAAUCUCUUUUUCAAGACAGAUCUGACCAAGAGCGCAGCAAUACAGAAACAAUCACACACAUUAACAGAUUAACAGAAACAUUUAAAAAAUAAUAAUACCAUGAAACAGUAAUUAAUCAGGACAUUUCAUUGGAUUAUUUGCAACUUUAAAAUUAAUUAAAACAAGUACAUUUAUCAGAAAUAAAAUUUCCCCCCUGAUUUUUUUAAUCUGUUAAUAAUGAGAUAGUUUGACAUGCUUUUGAAGGUCGUUCCAUGACCAGUGUUUGCUCUGCAGUUGAUAGAAUGUCAUUCGCUUGGUCGUUAUUGUUGUCUUUGACAGUUUCCUGGAGUGUGUGGCUGUGUGCCUGAGUGACAUCCAGAACUUAAGAGAAGUCGUUUCAUUUCUGGUUCUUUCUUGAGGAGAGGUGACUUGUAGUGGUGAGUGUCAGGGUCAGUGUGGCUCGCUCCUGUGACUCUGAGCCCUGGAGCUGCUUUUAAGGGACAGUGUCCUGCAGAGUCUGCCUGUCUGCCCUCGACAUUGUGUGAGGGCGUUUGUACCUGAGAAUCAGGACUAGCUUCUCAUGACGAAUGGGAUGCUGGCUGGAACAUUUAUUUAUGUAGUUCAGCACGUGUAGCUGACAGUGUGGACGUGCUCAUCUUGCAUUGCGAGUGUCAGCUGGUUCAUGACUACAGUAAUUCAUGACUACAGUAACCUGCAGGUCACAGCUUGCACAGGUUCAUCAACAUUGUCAGUUCCUCAUGUAUCCAGUGUGCGCAGUGCUGUAGCAGACAGUGAGGAGUAGUGGAGCAACAAUCAAUCCAUUUAUCCAUCCUCUGCCCUUAAAUUUCCCGAGCUGCGAUUACAUAUUGUUGAAUCGAUGCAUGAGAUGAGAGCCCAGUUUGGAGUCUGCUGUUGCCGUUGUCUCAGGAAAUAUGUUGAUCAAGCUCUAGAAUUUAAAGGGGAGGUUCCAUUGUUUCUAAUGUAACCGAGCCUAGGCUAGGAAAUAAGUUGAUCGGAUAUGUUAAUGAAAAAUAAUUUAAAAUUAAUUUUGUAGGUAUAAUUUAUAUCAAUUAAUAGAUCGGAUUUAUUCGUCGGUAUGCUGCUAGAUAAGAUGAUGUGAAUAUCACCUUAGAUCCGAUAUAUUAGCCUAACAAAAAUGCAUAAUUUAAACUGACUUUUGUACGUAUAAUUUACAUUAACAUGUAGAUCGGAUACAUUCGACAGCAUUACGCUAGAUAAGGGAAUGUGAAUAUCGCUGUAAUAUAUAUUAGCAGCAAAUAAAUCAUUUCAAAUGAAUUGUACGAUUGUAUAUUUCUGAUUGUGUAUUUCUGUUUGUAUAACAAACGUUAACUAGCAAAACAUGUUGCGUAUUGACGUUAUUUUGCAUUUCUGGAGGUGCUUUUGUUUUGGGAAGCACUACAGUUUGGACAGCAGGUAUGCGAGCGAUUGUCCAAAAGUUAAAGCAUGAGUUUCAAUCAUGGAAAACAUUAAGCUCCAUGCUGCGAUCACUAACUAGGCCACGGUGCACAUCAAUCACAGGAUGUACUUGAAAAACGUUGCUAAUACAGUUUUAUUAUUUGAUAUUUGUUCUUUCAUUUAUUUUACAUACAGUAUUUUGUAUAAUAAAUGACAGAAAAUGAACAGGAAACUGGUGAUCAUAGUGCAUGUAUUUCAAUUACAAGUUUGGGAAGAAACAAUACAUUCAUUAAUUAAAAUCUAAAGAGUUAACGUCUUUGCUAAACCGUGGUAAAUACCUGUAGUUCAAUACCAACCAUGAUUUUGUGUUGUGAGAGAGAUCAUACAGUAUCUGCAGGCUACUCUAUAUCAGCAUCAUUUUAAAAUGGUAAAUCCCUGUAGUGCAACAACCAAUAAGACAUGUAAGGAGAAAGAGAUACAGUAUAUUGAAUUAAAGUGAAUUAUCACGAUUUAAAAUAUUAGCUAUACUAAUAUUAAAAUGUAUAAAAUAUGACUUGCCCUGCUAAUAAUAUUAUGGAUGCAGCAUGUCAUUAUAUUACUGAAAUAUUUUAAUUUCGAUUAAAGAUUGACAACAUUUUGACACGUAAAAUCAUUUAAUAUAUAAAUAAAUCUCCGCGAUCACACAUAAACUACAUCAGAUUGACAUCGAUGUUAUAGAAACAUAAAAAGACAGGGGUUUAAAACAGUUUACCAUUGAAACAGUCGUCGAUCACACAUUUUAAAGUUCAUACGAAAAGACAGUGGCACGAACACGCACCAACAUAAUACACAGGCAGAUAAAAAUAAAAAACCUUGCAGUGAACCUCCCCUUUAAUCAAACUGUAGCCCUGCCUUACUUUUGUCUACUUUUAGAACAUAAGAACAUAAGAAAGUUUACAAACGAGAGGAAGGCCAUUCAGCCCAUCUUGCUUGUUUGGUUGUUAGUAGCUUAUUGAUCCCAGAAUCUCAUCAAGCAGCUUCUUGAAGUAUCCCAGGGUUUCAGCUUCAACAACAUUACUGGGGAGUUGGUUCCAGACCCUCACAAUUCUCUGUGUAAAAAAGUGCCUCCUAUUUUCUGUUCUGAAUGCCCCUUUAUCUAAUCUCCAUUUGUGACCCCUGGUCCUUGUUUCUUUUUUCAGGUCAAAGAAGUCCCCUGGGUUGACAUUGUCUAUACCUUUUAGGAUUUUGAAUGUUUGAAUCAGAUCGCCGCGUAGUCUUCUUUGUUCAAGACUGAAUAGAUUCAAUUCUUUUAGCCUGUCUGCAUACGACAUGCCUUUUUAACCCGGGAUAAUUCUGUUUGCUCUUCUUUGCAUUCUUUCUAGAGCAGCAAUAUCCUUUUUGUAACGAGGUGACCAGAACUGAACACAAUAUUCUAGGUGAGGUCUUACUAAUGCAUUGUAAAGUUUUAACAUUACUUCCCUUGAUUUACAUUCAACACUCCUCACAAUAUAUCCGAGCAUCUUGUUGGCCUUUUUUAUAGCUUCACCCGCAUUGUCUAGAUGAAGACAUUCCUGAGUCAACAUAAACUCCUAGGUCUUUUUCAUAGUUCCCUUCUUCAACUUCAGUAUCUCCCAUAUGAUAUUUGUAAUGCACAUUUUUAUUGCCUGCAUGCAGUACUUUACACUUUUCUCUAUUAAAUUUCAUUUGCCAUGUGUCUGCCCAAUUCUGAAUGCUGUCUAGAUCUUUUUGAAUGACCUUUGCUGCUGCAACAGUGUUUGCCACUCCUCCUAUUUUUGUGUCGUCUGCAAAUUUAACAAGUUUGCUUACUAUACCAGAAUCUAAAUCAUUAAUGUAGAUUAGGAAUAGCAGAGGACCCAAUACUGAUCCCUGUGGUACACCACUGGUUACCUCGCUCCAUUUUGAGAUUUCUCCUCUAAUCAGUACUUUCUGUUUUCUACAUGUUAACCACUCCCUAAUCCAUGUGCAUGCAUUUGCACCCAUGUGCAUCCCCUGGUCAGCUGUCCAGCUCACUGCUGCAGAAGUUUGUUUGGGGCUGGGACAAUGAACUUGUGUGUUUUAGCCAUUUGUUAAUCUUUGAAGAGGAUCUGCAAGUUUGUCUUUCAGUCUUCCCUGCAAUAAUGAUGGACUUUAUUUAUUUGAGAAUCUGUGUUGGAAAAUGUGCUAUUUGACAGUGAAGUUGUUUUUAAAAAAAAAACAUGUAAAGAAAAUGUACAUGAUCUCUAACUUGCUAUUUGACAAAUAACAAUUAAAAAAUGAAAGCCUGUGUGAUGCUUAUUUCCCUGCAAGCCCUUUUCUUUGCCCACUGGAGCACACAGCCUCUUAUGGGGGUUUGGAACCGCAAAUCACUGCAUCUUAAACACACAGCUCUAGAGUCCGUAACUACAGCAUGUACUGUACCGGUUAUUGUGUGUGUUUUAAUGAAGUCUGCUGCUGUACUUGUCUGGCUGUGAGCUUUUGCUUUACCAACAAACAAGGAAUUAAACAAAACAAAAGCAGCUCCGUUCUCAGCCUGGCGUGAGAUUGAUUUAUUUUACCUACAAUGGGAAGUGCUUUAGACUGAACAACCUCAAGCUCCCUUCAUCUUGUCACAGCUCCGCACUGUGAUAUAAAGUCUAUUUCCUGUACAUUGUUAUUAUUUUUUGUGUUUUAUUUAUUGUGAUUAUUAUUAUGAUUUUAAGAAUGUAUCGGAAAUGUCUUUGUUUUUGCACAGUGGUAAGGUUAAUCCCAGUCAUUACAAUGGGCAACGGAGCUGUGUUAAGAUAAAACUUUUUUUUAAAUUAAAGAAAAUUAUCUUUAUUAAAAUCAACAGUUCUACUAAAUGGCCACACGAUGGCAGCAUUGGAUAAGGAAUAGCGAGAGCUUCGUUCUGCCUAUCUUCGUAAAGUUCACUGCCUGCUUUGCCCAUUGUAACCCGGUUGACAAAGCCACGCUGAAUUAAUCAGCUCACCUGGGGGUCGGGGGGGGGGGGGGGCGUCUAUUUAUUUCUUAGCAGAC